UACAGAGGGUGCGAGCGUUAAUCGGAAUUACUGGGCGUAAAGCGUGCGUAGACGGCUAUCUAAGUCGGGUGUGAAAGCCCCGGGCUCAACCUGGGAAUUGCAUUCGAGACUGAAUAGCUAGGGUACGGUAGAGGGAAGCGGAAUUUCCGGUGUAGCGGUGAAAUGCGUAGAUAUCGGAAGGAACAUCAGUGGCGAAGGCGACUUCCUGGCCUGUUCUUGACGCUGAGGCGCGAAAGCUAGGGUAGCAAACGGG
rnacentral:rRNA from 1 species